UAAAUAAGUGUAUUGGGACUUGAACCCAAGACCAUCGGAUUAAAAGUCCGGUGCUCUACCAACUGAGCUAUACACUU
rnacentral:tRNA from 1 species